GUGCAGCAGUCGCGAAACUUUACAAUGUGCGAAAGCACGAUAAGGGAACUCUGAGUGCCUCCUAAGGAGGCUGUUCUGAUGUCUAAAAGCAACAGAAGUAAGGGCUGGGUAAGACCGGUGCCAGCCGCCGCGGUAACACCGGCAGCCCAAGUGGUAGCCACGUUUAUUGGGUCUAAAGCGUUCGUAGCCGGCCAGGUAAGUUCCUUGGUAAAUUUAGCCGCUUAACGGUUAAGCUUUCAGGGAAUACUGCUUGGCUUGGGACUGGGAGAGGUCAGAGGUACUCCGGGGGUAGGGGUGAAAUCUAUUAAUCCCUGGGGGACCACCGGUAGCGAAGGCGUCUGACCAGACCAGGUCCGACGGUGAGGGACGAAGGCUAGGGGCGCGAACCGGAUUAGAUACCCCUGUAGU
rnacentral:rRNA from 1 species